GGAAAAGAAACCAACAGGGAUUGCCUUAGUAACGGCGAGUGAAGCGGCAAAAGCUCAAAUUUUGAAAUCUGGCACCUUCGGUGUCCGAGUUGUAAUUUGAAGAAGGUAACUUUGGAGUUGGCUCUUGUCUAUGUUCCUUGGAACAGGACGUCACAGAGGGUGAGAAUCCCGUGCGAUGAGAUGCCCAAUUCUAUGUAAAGUGCUUUCGAAGAGUCGAGUUGUUUGGGAAUGCAGCUCUAAGUGGGUGGUAAAUUCCAUCUAAAGCUAAAUAUUGGCGAGAGACCGAUAGCGAACAAGUACAGUGAUGGAAAGAUGAAAAGAACUUUGAAAAGAGAGUGAAAAAGUACGUGAAAUUGUUGAAAGGGAAGGGCUUGAGAUCAGACUUGGUAUUUUGCGAUCCUUUCCUUCUUGGUUGGGUUCCUCGCAGCUUACUGGGCCAGCAUCGGUUUGGAUGGUAGGAUAAUGACUAAGGAAUGUGGCUCUACUUCGGUGGAGUGUUAUAGCCUUGGUUGAUACUGCCUGUCUAGACCGAGGACUGCGUCUUUUGACUAGGAUGUUGGCAUAAUGAUCUUAAGCCACCCGUCU
rnacentral:rRNA from 1 species